rnacentral:rRNA from 1 species
CUCAGGAUGAACGCUAGCGGCAGGCCUAACACAUGCAAGUCGAGGGGUAACAUUUGUGCUUGCACAAGAUGACGACCGGCGCACGGGUGCGCACCGCGUAUGGAACCUACCUUGUACAGGGGAAUAGCCCAGGGAAACUUGGAUUAAUGCCCCGUAGUACCAUGACCCGGCAUCGGGAUUUGGUUAAAGCCUUCGGGCGGUAUAAGAUGGCCAUGCGUCCCAUUAGUUUGUUGGUAAGGUAACGGCUUACCAAGACUACGAUGGGUAGGGGCCCUGAGAGGGGGAUCCCCCACACUGGUACUGAGACACGGACCAGACUCCUACGGGAGGCAGCAGUGAGGAAUAUUGGACAAUGGAGGAGACUCUGAUCCAGCCAUGCCGCGUGCAGGAAGAAUGCCCUAUGGGUAGUAAACUGCUUUUAUACAGGAAGAAAAAGAGCUACGUGUAGCUUACUGACGGUACUGUAAGAAUAAGGACCGGCUAACUCCGUGCCAGCAGCCGCGGUAAUACGGAGGGUCCGAGCGUUAUCCGGAAUUAUUGGGUUUAAAGGGUCCGUAGGCGGGCCGAUAAGUCAGGGGUGAAAGUUUGCAGCUCAACUGUAAAAUUGCCUUUGAUACUGUUGGUCUUGAGUUAUAGUGAAGUUGCCGGAAUAUGUAGUGUAGCGGUGAAAUGCAUAGAUAUUACAUAGAACACCGAUUGCGAAGGCAGGUGACUAACUAUAUACUGACGCUGAUGGACGAAAGCGUGGGGAGCGAACAGGAUUAGAUACCCUGGUAGUCCACGCCGUAAACGAUGGAUACUAGCUGUCCGGAACCUUGAGUUCUGGGCGGCCAAGCGAAAGU